rnacentral:rRNA from 1 species
GACGAACGCUGGCGGCGUGCUUAACACAUGCGAGUCGAACGGAAAGGCCCUGCUUGCUGGGUACUCGAGUGGCGAACGGGUGAGUAACACGUGGGUGAUCUGCCCUGCACUUCGGGAUAAGCCUGGGAAACUGGGUCUAAUACCGGAUAGGAGCCAUUUCUAGUGUGAUGGUUGGAAAGUUUUUUCGGUGUAGGAUGAGCCCGCGGCCUAUAAGCUUGUUGGUGGGGUAAUGGCCUACCAAGGCGGCGACGGGUAGCCGGCCUGAGAGGGUGGACGGGCACAUUGGGACUGAGAGACGGCCCAGACUCCUACGGGAGGCAGCAGGGGGGAAUAUUGCACAAUUGGCGCAAGCCGGAUGCAGCGACGCCGCGUGGGGGAUGACGGCCUUCGGGUUGGAAACUCCUUUCGCGAGGGACGAAGCUUUUUGUGACGGUACCUAGAGAAGAAGCACCGGCUAACUACGUG